UACAGAGGGUGCAAGCGUUGUUCGGAAUCAUUGGGCGUAAAGGGCGCGUAGGCGGCCUGACAAGUGGAAGGUGAAAUCCCUCGGCUUAACCGAGGAACUGCCCUCCAAACUGUUUGGCUUGAGACCGGGAGAGGUGAGUGGAAUUCCCAGUGUAGCGGUGAAAUGCGUAGAUAUUGGGAGGAACACCAGUGGCGAAGGCGGCUCACUGGACCGGUACUGACGCUGAGGCGCGAAAGCCAGGGGAGCAAACGGG
rnacentral:rRNA from 1 species